UUCUUACUUUGCUCUCAGUUCUCUACAAACAGUAAACCCAGAAGUAAGAAGUUGAAUUCAGUCUUUCUCUGUUACUUUGCUCUCAGUUCUCAGUUUCGAUUGUUUCAUCUUAUUAACCGCAUGGGUUGAUGUUGAAUCAAAAAGAGGGGUUCAUGGUUCUUUGCUUCAAAGAAGUUGUUAUAACCAUCAGUAUUAUUAGAGGAGCAGUUAUGGGGGCUUUCUUUUAUAACCCUUUCUUUCGCUGAUAUCAAAUCAAGUGUUUUGGUGAUAUAAUUUCAGAAAUUGGUAAUUGGGAUUCUGAAUUUUUUAGGUUAAAAUCCUCACAUUGAAAAGGUAUCAGAAGUUGCUCCUACUGGAUCUGCCUGUGAUGAAGGGUGGAUAACCUUCAGGAACAUACUAUGAGAAAUCAAUGAAGCCUGAAUGUUUUUUUACUGUAUCCAAUCAGGUGAUUGUUCCAACAGUUGGUGUUAGAUUCUUAGCGGACGACAUGGAAGAUUAUAAAUCUAGAAUGUAAACUAAUGCACCCACAAAUGAGGAGGAAAGACAAGGGGCUUUGAUGCAAUUGACGCUGCUCUAGAAAGGGACAGUGAUUGCAUCGCCUGAUUAAUUUCCUAGAGACGUUCUUGCAUUUGUCCACGGGGAAACACUCCAAGAUGACAGGGUCAUAAAAAGACGUGCACUUUGACUUUAAGAUUUAAGAGUCAUAGAACGAUCAUGAUUGAUCUGAAAGGCCCAUCCGACGGUCCCAAUCAUCUGGAUGGAGUUUUAAGCUUGGACGGUCAGCAGAAAUAGGGUUUUAUUCCGGGUCAAAAUCGAACCAGAUAUAUGUGAAUCUUUUUAGGGUUGUUGUAAUCGGAUUGAUGCAGCAAACCGGCUAGGUAUUGAAAUUUGUUGGGUUUUUUUCCUUCAUUGUUUGGAAAUUGAUUGAUUAAUGGCAACCUUAUAUUCUUCUUCAUCUUCACCGAUGGAAAAUCUUCCAAUUUCUCACUCAGUUUCAAUUGAAACUUUCCUGAAGUGAUUUGUGUCUCAAAUUUCUGAUGAUGUUCAGUUGGUUAAAUUAUAAUGUACGGAGUGUGGUGUGUUACGUGUGUAGUGGAAUCAAUGCAGAAACAUAAGCCUGUUUGCGAAGAAAUUAUGGUUACUUUUAUCAAUCAUGCUUAAAAUCUUUGUAAAUAAAUUGUGGUUUUAGUUUACAGUAAAUUCCCUUUUCUUCUAUAAUAUUUAAUAUAUACCUGAAUGUACAGAGAGUAGAUUUACUUUCUAAGCCUUUGCGACAUUACUUUGACUGUUGUUAGCUAAAUUGUUCCUUCCAUUUUCAUUAUAAAGUUGUUGUUUUUGUUCCUUUGUCUGAUUUAGAACCUUACAAGUUACAAUGUAUGUUUUUUGAGCUUUGUGGAGGAUGGCAAAUUAUAUGUAGGAAUGUAGUGGAAUAUUGAUAUGACGGGUACUGUAUGGUGCAUUGGGUAACAUUUAUUCUUCUACUCUUAUAUUUUGUUAAUCAGCGAUUCAGCAUUCAGUAAUUCUUGAUUGAAUGGUCAUUGUAUUUACUUUAAUUACUUUUAUAUUGUUGACAUUACAUCAUACACUCAUUAAUACUUCAGCGUUUCUCUAAGCUCUCUUCUAAUGGUACCAAUUCGAAACAAGGAAAAAGCUUCUCGAUUGUUCAUCUUAUCUCUCACAAGGUAAACCAACGAUUUAUGCUUUUUUGGUUGUUUUAUUUUGUAUAUCAGGAAACAAAGUUGAUAGGGAUACUAGGCCUUUUAGAUUGGAUGAGGGUGUUGAGCAAUUAGACAUUAGAGAACUUUCAGCAUUUGAGCAUCAUCAUAGCACCGAGAUCAGGUCCCUUGGUGAGUCUGUUGGAUGUGUUUAUUUAUGGAAUGCUUGCAGUAGUAAGGUAACUAAAUUAUGUGACUUGGGUGUGGGUGAUAGUGUUUCAGUUGAAUGGGCAAGCCAUGGGAUACAACUAGAUGUUCCAACUAAUAACGGAAACUUCCUUCUUCUGAAUCCUUUUCCCAUGCUUUCCGUCCAGGUAAUAUACAUUCCUUCGAUUUGUAAUCUAGAUGAUAAAUAGAUGAGCAGUACAAGCAGAAUGCGAAUUUGGCAUCGGGGACCGAAAGGUAUCCUUAAGCUGGUGGAUUUGUAUCAGAUAUGGCUAAAUCACGUGAAGAGUUUAGAGGUUAUAAAGUUAGAGAAGGUCUUCUGAGUUCUGAUCUACAAAAUGAGAUCUAUGUACAAGAAGUUGAGGUUGCACAAUUGUUUAGUGACCUUCAGAUAUUCAAAAUCUGCUUUCAGGUAUUCAAAAAUAAGGUACACAAGCCCAUUGCAACAAGUAAUAAUCUUGAAGAUAAAAGUACUUUUAAAAGAAGUAAAAAUUGAACACCUGAAAGACUUGGAAAUAAAAUAUAUUACUCUUCUUUAAGAUCAUGCACUCUCUUAACCAAAUAGCAUGGAAGGUGGUAAGCAGGUAUGUGUAUUUUUUUUAUCUUUAUUAAUAUAGUAAUGUAGUGACUUCUAAAUCUGAUAGGACACUAAUUGACUACUGACUGUGCAAUUGGUGAGCUUUCUGAAUAGAGGAUCAUCUAAGAUAUCCAUCUGUUGAUGGAGCAAAAUGAGUAGAUCUAUACUGCUUGCUGCAAAUUUAUAAUUUUUUUCUUAUAACACCUGAUUCUCUUACUACCAACAGGUCCUCUCUCCCCCUCCCCCAAAAUUUAAUUAAUAUAUAUGUUGCGUCAUUAUUGAGAUAAUUUUUUUGAUACCACAUAAAUCAUCUUUAACAGUCCUUCAUUCUGAAACUUUUGAUUAUAUGUAUCCAAUUAAUAGAAAGUUAACAUUGAUACCACAUAAUUCGAGCAUUACCGGGUACUGGAGGUCCAAGUUCCCGUUCGCGCUAAUACCUGUAAGUUUCAAGGGGGAGAAAAUGGAUAAUUAAUCCCCAUUAAUAUACAAUGUCGGUGUAAAGCAUAUCACUCUUUCAUCAUGAAUAAUGAAUCUGUGUAGGCUUUCGUCUUCAAUUAUAUUAACUUAUAGAUUGAUGUGCAUGUAAAUGAUUGUGCGUACGAUACCGGAUCGUUAAUAUAAUUGCUCAAUUUCAAAAUUUUCGGAAUUGCAUAGAAUCAUUACCAGAUGUAGCUUUCUAGGAUUUUUGUUGUUGUUGUUGUUGUUGUUUCAGUUCUCCCUUAUUUUGAUUCUUAUUGUCAAUGAAACUAUAUUAUGACUAUAGGUUCCGCGAUGACUGAACUGGGACUAGAUAAUUCACUCCUGAAUGAAAAACUCCAUUUUGGGACACUCUAAGUUAGUUUGUCAAGUGACAAGUAUGCACAACUUGGAUGAUGAUUCCUCCAUACUGAAGGAAAAACUGCCAGUAGGGAAAAUUACUGGACUGAAGUUUCUGAUAACAGUGUAACAUAUCUCCAGCAUUCCCCAUAAGAUUUAUUGCUCAUGUAUUUACCUAAUCACAUAGUUAAGUCUCUCUCUUUGUGCCCCACUCAGACUUACGCAAGAUUGUGGAUUUGGUUGAGGUGCAGAGUUUCAUAUGGUUAGCACUGUCCAAUUACAACGCUCAAACGUAAAUUAUACUAACUUUGACAUGGUUUAAAGAGGGCCGAGUUUUCUCAGUGGGGAGUAAGCCGGUGGCUAGCUGUCAUGGGGCAGGACGGGCCUAUGCCUAGCAUCAAAAAAAAGAAAAACUGUCCAAUUACAAAAUACCCUCUUUCCUGUCAAAAUUUGAGGUGUAGACUACAUCGUCUAAGCUCAUCUGGUUGAAAUUUUCUACUGAUUAUCAUAAUCAGUAGACUACUGAUUUUGACGUGGCUGAACAAAAUUAGGCGAUUGACCUGGAUGAACAAAAUUGGACGAUUGGAGAGCUCUCUGUGUACUCGGUCCUCCAAGCAUAUAAGAGGUUUGUUGUUGUGGUGGUGUUGGUGUGUAGCAUUCAUUUGGGUUAUAGGGCGAGAAUGAUGAUGAAAUGCGCCUAGGUUCAAUCCGAAAUGUCUGAGGUUGAGACACAUACACAAUUUGUGGUGAAGUAGUAUUGCACUGUGUUUCUCGUACCACACUGUGAUGUGUUUCUCGCACCACUGUUUCUGCACUUUCUUGCCAUGAUAUGUGGGUUUCUUUACUUUCGUGCAAUGAUCUGUUGCUCCUGGUGAAAUUGGAAGAAUCUGACCCCCGCCCAUCAUCAUUUGCAGUUGGACUUACAGUUAGAGUCAAUCCAAACAUUGUGUCUGCCUGCCAUUUUCGUAGUUGUUCCAAGUGCAUCGCCUCUACUUGCCGAUUCCGCUAAUGCAAAUAGUUGAGUCGAAUCGGAAACUCUUCCUCACUGGCAGUGACAUUGUAUUAAGGAUAAUCACGGUCCAUACCUUGGGAAACAAUGAGGAUCGUGGUUGGAUCACCUUGUGAAGUAAUACUUUGCAGCUCCCAACGAAUUUCAGGCAUAUUUGACGAGGAUGAUGAAGAACUUACGCCCGUCCUUGGAUAAGUCAUAAAGCUUGGCUCUUCUGGAGGUGGUUGGCUAGGAACGAUAUUUGGAUUACGGGACAUGUUUGAUAACCCUGGGAAAUCAACCCCAUAGACGUGCAUGUUUUUUGUCCCAACCACAGGCUUCGUAAUUGACGUGUACCAGUUGACAUACUGCGCUUUACUAAUAUCCAACUGUGUAUUUAGUUUAUACCUCUCCCAAUCGGUUAUUCUCAGCCGAUAAAAAUCUGAUGCAGAGGUUUGCAUUUGUAGCGGGUUAAUUGCAAUUGCAAAUAUACCUUGUAUUUGGUACUGCACUCUUUCUGCCAGAUACCAAACCCCUAUUUGUGAUUCCGGACUGUAAAAAACAACUCUACGCAUAGAAUAAUCAAGAAUACUUACUCCAA